CUACGGGAGGCUCCAGUGAGGAAUUUUGCGCAAUGGGGGAAACCCUGACGCAGCAACGCCGCGUGAGUGAUGAAGGCUUUCGGGUCGUAAAGCUCUGUCAAGUGGGAAGAACCACUUUGAGGUUAAUACCCUCGAGGUUUGACGGUACCACUGAAGGAAGCACCGGCUAACUCCGUGCCAGCAGCCGCGGUAAUACGGGGGGUGCAAGCGUUAUUCGGAAUCAUUGGGCGUAAAGGGCGCGCAGGCGGCCUUGUAAGUCAGAUGUGAAAGCCCGGGGCUCAACCCCGGAAGCGCAUUUGAAACUAUGAGGCUUGAGUAUGGGAGAGGGAAGUGGAAUUCCUGGUGUAGCGGUGAAAUGCGUAGAUAUCAGGAGGAACACCGGUGGCGAAGGCGACUUCCUGGACCAAUACUGACGCUGAGGCGCGAAGGCGUGGGGAGCAAACAGGAUUAGAUACCCGGGUAGUC
rnacentral:rRNA from 1 species